ensembl:lncRNA
CUGACAAAAGAUAUGUUUUAUUAUUCCAUGCCUCACCAUUAAGCGAAGUAUUGCCAACACAUAUUAACAAAGGGGGGAACAUUUGGUUUUGAUUUUCAUAUUUACAAUCAAUUUACUUAACAUUUAGUAAUCAUCAUUAUUUAUGCAUGUAUUCACAAUUAUGUAGCAUUUAGUAAUCAUAAUUAUUCAUGCAACCAGCUGACAGUUGGAGGUGUGAUGUAUUUAAUGGAGAUGGAGGUGUGUUCUAGUGGGUCUGGGCAGGUGUGAUGUAGUUAAUGGAGAUGGAGGUGUGUUCUAGUGGGUGUGAUGUAGUUAAUGGAGAUGGAGGUGUGUUCUAGUGGGUCUGGGCAGGUGUGAUGUAGUUAAUGGAGAUGGAGGUGUGUUCUAGUGGGUCUGGGCAGGUGUGAUGAACUUCAUGUUUGUAUGAUGUUGUCGUUUGUAUGUUUUGUAUUGUUUAUAAAAAGAUAAAUAAAAUAUUUUUCCCAAUGCAACGUAA